UACGAAGGGUGCAAGCGUUACUCGGAAUUACUGGGCGUAAAGCGUGCGUAGGUGGUUUGUUAAGUCUGAUGUGAAAGCCCUGGGCUCAACCUGGGAAUUGCAUUGGAUACUGGCAGGCUAGAGUGCGGUAGAGGAUGGCGGAAUUCCCGGUGUAGCAGUGAAAUGCGUAGAGAUCGGGAGGAACAUCUGUGGCGAAGGCGGCCAUCUGGACCAGCACUGACACUGAGGCACGAAAGCGUGGGGGAGCAAACAGG
rnacentral:rRNA from 1 species